rnacentral:rRNA from 1 species
AUUGAACGCUGGCGGCAGGCCUAACACAUGCAAGUCGAGCGGAGCGGCGGACGGGGGAGUAAUGCUUAGGAAUCUGCCUGGUAGUGAGGGAUAACGUCCGGAAACGGGAGCUAAUACCGCAUACUCUCAGCUGAGCCUAGGUCGGAUUAGGUAGUUGGUGGGGUAAAGGCCUACCAAGGCGACGAUCCGUAACUGGUCUGAGAGGAUGAUCAGUCACACUGGAACUGAGACACGGUCCAGACUCCUACGGGAGGCAGCAGUGGGGAAUAUUGGACAAUGGGCGAAAGCCUGAUCCAGCCAUGCCGCGUGUGUGAAGAAGGUCUUCGGAUUGUAAAGCACUUUAAGUUGGGAGGCGUUACCAGCAGAAUAAGCACCGGCUAACUUCGUGCCAGCAGCCGCGGUAAUUC